UGGUGACUUGGGAGAAUUUACUUCCGGGACGACUCUGUGCACCCAGGGCGGAAGUAGCGUGGGCCGCGCGCCCUGGGCGUGAUGGAGCAGCAGCAGCAACUAAGAAACUUGCGAGACUUCCUGUUGGUCUACAAUCGGAUGACAGAACUGUGCUUCCAGCGCUGUGUGCCCAGCCUGCACCACCGAGCUCUGGACGCUGAGGAGGAGGCCUGUCUGCACAGCUGUGCUGGGAAGCUCAUCCAUUCUAACCACCGCCUCAUGGCCGCUUAUGUGCACCUCAUGCCCGCCCUUGUCCAGCGCCGCAUCGCGGACUACGAGGCUGCCUCGGCCGUGCCAGGUGUUCCUGCAGAACAGCCCGGAGACUCGCCGUCAGGCAGCUAGCCAGCCUCUGCCCCAGGAGAGAAGGUGCUUGGAUGGGCUCCUCUAUGAACCUUGGGCUUGUCGAAAUUUGUACAGAGAGAUUGAACCUGGAAGCUGGACACUAUUGCUCCGUUGCAUGGAGCCAAUAAACCGGGCUUUUACUCUGGUUGAUUUUCUGGGCAGGAACUUUUGUCCAUUUAUUGGUACCAUCCUUUAUUCUGUUUUUAGUGCCUAUCUACUCCUCUCAGCCCUGGCAGUUGAGAAAUUUCCUUCCGUAUGUAGGAGGACAAACUCAGCAUUCCCAGAUCCCCAGCAAAAGCAUAGGUAGCAAGGGGAAAUUGGUUCCAAGAGGAGAACACUCAAGUGGCCGUCCUUGAGUCUAAUUCGAGUGCCUGAAUAUACAUUGGCUCAUAACUAAUUUUUAUCUGAGCUGUCAUACAAAAAGAAUUGUGCUGGAUCUAGGGGAAGAAAACAGUACCACAAUAGGCUAUAGCCACCACUUCUUAGGAGAUCAGUGAAAAACAGAACAAAGACAAGCCUGUAAGAAUUCAGGAAUAUUGUCUAGAAUUUCAGUCAUUUCCCCAGUUUACCAUCUUAAUAUUUCCUGUCUGUGUGAAAUCAACAAUAAAGACUUUAAACAAAGAAGGGCUUUCUUCUUACCUUCCAGGCAAGUUAGGAGGACUACAUUAGUCAAAUCUCAAGAAGAGAAACCUAAGGGGGAGGAAGAUGGUGGUAGAGGGGGGUAGUUAAAUAUAGAUUAUAUUUAAUCUGUGUGGCCCUUAAUGUUCCCUUCGUGUUUUCACUGCUUGUCUGGAGUCUCCUAAUUGCAGCUCUCUACCCUCCACCUUACAUUGUUCUCACUGUAACUGAUACCAGCUUCUCUAUUUUUGUUUCAGUACUCCCCCCUCCCCUUGUGGGUUUCACAUCUGUAUUCAGAAGGAUACCUCUUUUCCUGGCCCUGCCUUUUCCAUGACGUCAUUCCUAGUAUGGGGAUGGGGAAGGAAAGAGGUUGUGGCAUAUACCACCUUGUGGGGCUUCAAGAAUAAUGACAGGAUGCAGGGCAAGCAAGAGCAUGGGGUCUGCAUUUGUUAUUGUUUUACUGGAGGUUAAACUCAAGGCCUUGUGCAUGCCAGGUGAUUUUGCCAUGGAGUCCAUUGGCCUUAAACUUGUGAUCCUCCUGUCUCAGCCUCCCAGGUACUGGGAUUGCACACAUGGGCUGCAGCUGGUUGCUAGAUAAUUCUUUAGGAAGAUGAAAAUUGCUGACGAGGAGCUUUCCUAUAGAGUGACCUCAUGUCUGCCUGACAAAAUUCACUCUUUGACAAGUAUAAAUGUAAGUAAAGCAGUGUAUGAACUUCUUAAUUCCCAAAGACAGGAAGGUGGAGCCCCAGGAUAUUGUGUUGCUGCUGGGGGAGUUCUUCUACAUCAGCAUCUGUAUGUAUCCUUUCAAUAAACAUGUACUGUGAA